rnacentral:rRNA from 1 species
GUGAGGAAUUUUCCGCAAUGGGCGAAAGCCUGACGGAGCAAUGCCGCGUGAAGGAUGAAGGCCUAUGGGUUGUAAACUUCUUUUCUCAGAAAAGAAUUAUGACGGUAUCUGAGGAAUAAGCAUCGGCUAACUCUGUGCCAGCAGCCGCGGUAAGACAGAGGAUGCAAGCGUUAUCCGGAAUGAUUGGGCGUAAAGCGUCUGUAGGUUGUUUAAAAAGUAUUCUGUCAAAGAUUAGGGCUUAACCCUAGAUAGGCAGAAUAAACUUUUAAGCUAGAGUUUGGUAGAGGCAGGGGUAAUUCCCGGUGGAGCGGUGAAAUGCGUAGAUAUCGGGAGGAACACCAAAGGCGAAGGCACUCUGCUGGGCCAAUACUAACACUGAGAGACGAAAGCGAGGGGAGCAAAUGGGAUUAGAUACCCCUGUAGUCC